rnacentral:tRNA from 1 species
AACUGGCUGGCAGAUUAUAUGUGCUUGGUUUAGGACCAGGUUAUGGGCUAGAUAAGCUCGCUUGUUA